GCGGAUCCGCGGCCGCUGCAGAUCUGGUCGAUCCUGCCGGAGGCCACUGCUAUCGGAGUUCGAUUAAGCCAUGCGAGUUGAGAGGUGCAAGACCUCGGCAUACUGCUCAGUAACACGUGGACAACCUAACCUACAGAAGGGGAUAACCCCGGGAAACUGGGGAUAAUACCCUAUAGACUAUGGAUGCUGGAAUGCUCUGUAGCCGAAAGGUCCGCCGCUGUAGGAUGGGUCUGCGGCCGAUUAGGUUGUUGUUGGGGUAACGGCCCAACAAGCCUGUAAUCGGUACGGGUUGUGGGAGCAAGAGCCCGGAGAUGGAUUCUGAGACACGAAUCCAGGCCCUACGGGGCGCAGCAGGCGCGAAAACUUUACAAUGCGGGAAACCGUGAUAAGGGAACUCCGAGUGCCCGUAAAAUCGGGCUGUCCAUCUGUUUAAAUAACUGGUGAAGAAAGGGCCGGGCAAGACCGGUGCCAGCCGCCGCGGUAAUACCGGCGGCUCGAGUGGUGGCCACUAUUACUGGGCUUAAAGCGUUCGUAGCUGGUCUGUUAAGUCUCUGGGGAAAUCUACUGGCUUAACCAAUAGACGUUUCAGGGAUACUGGCAGACUAGGGACCGGGAGAGGUGAGAGGUACUCCAGGGGUAGGAGUGAAAUCCUGUAAUCCUUGGGGGACCACCUGUGGCAAAGGCGUCUCACCAGAACGGCUCCGACAGUGAGGGACGAAAGCUGGGGGAGCAAACCGGAUUAGAUACCCGGGUAGUCCCAGCCGUAAACGAUGUGCGUUAGGUGUAUCGAUGACCACGAGUCAUCGCGGUGCCGAAGAGAAAUCGUGAAACGUACCGCCUGGGAAGUACGGUCGCAAGGCUGAAACUUAAAGGAAUUGGCGGGGGAGCACCACAAC
rnacentral:rRNA from 1 species